ACGCUGGCGGCGUGCCUAACACAUGCAAGUCGAGCGAGAAGUAAAGAAAUGAAGCUUCGGUAGAUUUUCAUUAUGGAAAGCGGCGGACGGGUGAGUAACGCGUAGGCAACCUGCCCUGUACAGGGGGAUAGCCACCCGAAAAGGUGAUUAAUACCCCAUGAUGCAAGAGAUACACAUGUAUCACUUGUCAAAGAUUUAUCGGUAUGGGAUGGGCCUGCGUCUGAUUAGCUAGUUGGUAGGGUAACGGCUUACCAAGGCAACGAUCAGUAGCCGACCUGAGAGGGUGAUCGGCCACAUUGGAACUGAGACACGGUCCAAACUCCUACGGGAGGCAGCAGUGGGGAAUAUUGCACAAUGGGGGAAACCCUGAUGCAGCAACGCCGCGUGAAGGAAGAAGGCCUUCGGGUUGUAAACUUCUGUCCUAGGGGAAGAAACAAAUGACAUUACCCUUGGAGGAAGCCCCGGCUAACUACGUGCCAGCAGCCGCGGUAAUACGUAGGGGGCGAGCGUUAUCCGGAAUUAUUGGGCGUAAAGAGUGCGUAGGUGGCAUCUUAAGCGCAGGGUUUAAGGCAAUGGCUCAACCAUUGUUCGCCUUGCGAACUGGGGUGCUUGAGUGCAGGAGGGGAAAGUGGAAUUCCUAGUGUAGCGGUGAAAUGCGUAGAUAUUAGGAGGAACACCAGUGGCGAAGGCGACUUUCUGGACUGUUACUGACACUGAGGCACGAAAGCGUGGGGAGCAAACAGGAUUAGAUACCCUGGUAGUCCACGCCGUAAACGAUGAGCACUAGGUGUCGGGGUCGCAAGACUUCGGUGCCGCAGUUAACGCAUUAAGUGCUCCGCCUGGGGAGUACGCACGCAAGUGUAAAACUCAAAGGAAUUGACGGGGACCCGCACAAGCAGCGGAGCAUGU
rnacentral:rRNA from 1 species